rnacentral:lncRNA from 1 species
AUCAGCAUUAGGGAUUUAAAACCCUAAACUGAAUUUUUCCUUUAAACAGCAUUAGGGUUUUAAACCCUAAACUAAAUUUUUCCUUUAGUCAGCAUUAGGGUUUUUAAACCCUAAACUGAACUUUUUCCGUUCAGCCAACAUUAGGGUUUUAAACCCUAAACUGAGCUUUUCCAUGCAACCGGCAUUAGGGUUUUAAACCCUAAACUGAACUCUUUCUAUUCAGCAAGUAUUAGGGUUUCAAACCCUAAACUGAGCUUUUCCAUGCAAUCAGCAUUAGGGUUUUAAACCCUAAACUGAAUUUUUCCUUUGGUCAGCAUUAGGGUUUUAACCUAAACUGAACUUUUUCCCAUUAGUCAGCAUUAGGGUUUUAAACCCUAAACUGAACUUUUUUCCAUUCAGCCAGCAUUAGGGUUUUAAACCCUAAACUGAGCUUUUCCAUGCAAUCAGCAUUAGGGUUUUAAACCCUAAACUGAAUUUUUCCUUUAGUCAGCAUUAGGGUUUUAAACCCUAAACUGAACUUUUUUCCAUUCAGCCAGCAUUAGAGUUUUAAACCCUAAACUGAGCUUUUUCAUGCAGUCAACAUUAGGGUUUUUAAACCCUAAACUGAACUUUUUCCGUUCAGCCAGCAUUAGGGUUUUAAACCCUAAACUGAGCUUUUCCAUGCAAUCAGCAUUAGGGUUUUAAACCCUAAACUGAAUUUUUCCUUUAGUCAGCGUUAGGGUUUUAAACCCUAAACUGAACUUUUUUCCAUUAGUCAGCAUUAGGGUUUUAAACCCUAAACUGAACUUUUUUCCAUUAAGCCAGCAUUAGGGUUUUAAACCCUAAACUGAGCUUUUCCAUGCAAUCAGCAUUAGGGUUUUAAACCCUAAACUGAGUUUUUCCUUUAGUCAGCAUUAGGGUUUUAAACCCUAAACUGAAUUUUCCUUUAGUCAUCAUUAGGGUUUUAAACCCUAAACUGAACUUUUUUCCAUUCAGCCAGCAUUAGGGUUUUAAACCCUAAACUGAAUUUUUCCUUUAGUCAGCAUUAGGGUUUUAAACCCUAAACUGAACUUUUUCCCAUUAGUCAGCAUUAGGGUUUUAAACCAUAAAAUGAACUUUUUUUCAUUCAGCCAGCAUUAGGGUUUUAAACCCUAAACUGAGCUUUUCCAUGCAAUCAGCAUUAGGGUUUUUAAACCCUAAACUGAACUUUUUCCGUUCAGCCAGCAUUAGGGUUUUAAACCCUAAACUGAGCUUUUCCAUGCAAUCAGCAUUAGGAUUUUAAACCCUAAACUGAAUUUUUCCUUUAGUCAGCAUUAAGGUUUUAAACCCUAAACUGAACUUUUUCCAUUCAGUCAGCAUUAGGGUUUUAAACCCUAAAUUAAACUUUUCCAUGCAAUCAGCAUUAGGGAUUUAAACCCUAAACUG